CAGGGAGACAAUAAAUUGAUUGUGAUGUCUAAGUUAUUUAUUCUUAGGCCGCAAUCCUGUCACCUUAAGGUCGAUCGGUACCUCAGAUUUUUGAAUUAGUUUUAUAAUUGAUUCUUUGAUUUCAGUUCCUAAACUUGUCUAGGUCACACCCAACAAAGGUUUCUCCUGGGCCAUUAGCUCAGGUGGUUAGAGCGCACCCCUGAUAAGGGUGAGGUCCCUGGUUCAAGUCCAGGAUGGCCCAUUCGUUGUUGGGGGUAUAGCUCAGUUGGUAGAGCGCCUGCUUUGCAAGCAGGAUGUCAGCGGUUCGAGUCCGCUUACCUCCACUGAAAACUAUCCUGAUAACUAAAUUCUGGAGAAAAAAUUGUAGAUGUGGCUUAGAAUUGUCUAUUUGAAUAGAACCUAGCUUCUUGUCAUCUUUUUAUAGUUGAUAAAAUGCUGGGCUCGCAUGGACUAUUUCCAUGGGAAUUCAGUAGAACCUUGAAAACUGCAUAGAUUAGAAAGAAUAAAGCAUCUCAUGGAUGCAUAAUUCUGUUUUUAUAAUUUAGCCUUAAAACUAAAUUAUUUAAUUCUAGAAUUCAUGUUUAAUUCUUGAGUAAAAGCCGAGCACAAUUGAUUUUGUGAUUGUAUUUAA
rnacentral:tRNA from 1 species